GGGCCUAUAGCUCAGCUGGUUAGAGCGCACGCCUGAUAAGCGUGAGGUCGAUGGUUCGAGUCCAUUUAGGCCA
rnacentral:tRNA from 2 species